UACGAAGGGGGGCUAGCGUUGCUCGGAAUUACUGGGCGUAAAGCGCACGUAGGCGGCUUCUUAAGUCGGUGGUGAAAUCUUGGAGCUCAACUCCAGAACUGCCUUCGAUACUGGGAAGCUCGAGUCCGGGAGAGGUGAGUGGAACUGCGAGUGUAGAGGUGAAAUUCGUAGAUAUUCGCAAGAACACCAGUGGCGAAGGCGGCUCACUGGUCCGGUACUGACGCUGAGGUGCGAAAGCGUGGGGAGCAAACAGG
rnacentral:rRNA from 1 species